rnacentral:rRNA from 1 species
UACAGAGGUCUCGAGCGUUGUUCGGAUUCAUUGGGCGUAAAGGGUGCGUAGGUGGCGUGGUAAGUCUGGUGUGAAAUCCUGGAGCUCAACUCCAGAACUGCCUUCGAUACUGAGAGUCUCGAGUCCGGGAGAGGUGAGUGGAACUGCGAGUGUAGAGGUGAAAUUCGUAGAUAUUCGCAAGAACACCAGUGGCGAAGGCGGCUCACUGGCCCGGUACUGACGCUGAGGUGCGAAAGCGUGGGGAGCAAACAGG